rnacentral:rRNA from 1 species
CUAAAAACACAGCCCUAUUUUUAACCUCAACAAUUCACUUAAGCCAAAAUAUUUUGUCAAUUAAGUAAAGAAGAUUAAAAAAUUAAUUAGAGCAACGCACAUGUACCGCAAGGGAACACUGAAAUAAUAAUGAAAUAACAAUUAAGUUCAAAAAAGUAGAGCUCAGUCCUCGUACCUUUUGCAUCAUGGUUUAACUAGAAAAACCAGGCAAAAAGAUUUAUAGUCUGACCCCCCGAAACUAAGUGAGCUACUCUAGGACAGCUUAAUGAGCAAACCCGUCUCUGUUGCAAAAGAGUGGGAAGAUCUUAUAGUAGAGAUGAUAUACCUAACGAACUUAGCGAUAGCUGGUUAUUCAGGAAAAGAAUCUCAGUUCAACCUAAAGAUAUUACAAUGUUAAAAAAUACAAAUUUAGCUUUAGAGCAACUCAAGCAGGUCACAGCCUACUUGAAACAGGAUACAGCCUCCACCUAUGGGUAAUAUAAUCUUUGUGAUAUAAAAGUAGGCCUAAAAGCAGCCAUCUUUUAAAAAGCGUCAAAGCUUAAAUAUAUUAACUAUUAAAUUCCUUGAACAAACUAAAACCCUCCCCUGAUACUGAAUAAUUCCAUACACUUAUGGAAACUAUAAUGUUAAAACUAGUAACAAGAAAUUUAUUCUCUUAAAUGUGAGCUUAAGUCAGAACGGAGCAUACACUGACAAUUAGCAAUCAUAGAACAUAGUAACAACUUCACCCUAGAAAACCCUGCUAAAAUAAUUGUUAAUCUUACACCAGAACAUUUAAAGAAAGACUAAAAGAAAAAGAAGGAACUCGGCAAAACUGAUUCCGCCUGUUUACCAAAAACAUCGCCUCUUGAAUGGAACUAUUAGAGGUCCAGCCUGCCCAGUGACAAUGUUUAACGGCCGCGGUAUCCAAACCGUGCGAAGGUAGCGUAAUCACCUGUUUUUUAAUUAAAGACCUGUAUGAAAGGCAUCACGAGAAUCACUCUGUCUCCUUUUUCCAGUCAGUGAAACUAAUCUUCCCGUGAAAAAGCGGGAAUAGAAAUACAAGACGAGAAGACCCUAUGGAGCUUAAGACAAAAUAAUAAUUGCCACCUUACCACUACCCUUCAUCACAGAGCAUCUUACUUAUAAGUCUUCGGUUGGGGCAACCGCGGGGUAAAAAUUACCCCCCAAGCUGAACGGAGCCUUCCUUAACAAAAAGCCACAACUUUAUGUAUCAUAAACUGACACUACUUGACCCAAUAUUUUGAUUAACGAACCAAGUUACCCUAGGGAUAACAGCGCAAUCCACCCCAAGAGUUCAUAUCGACGGGUGGGCUUACGACCUCGAUGUUGGAUCAAGGUGUCCUAGUGGUGCAGCCGCUACUCAAGGUUCGUUUGUUCAACGAUUAAAACCUCACGUGAUCUGAGUUCAGACCGGAGUAAUCCAGGUCAGUUUCUAUCUGUAAAGAGUUAUUCCCAGUACGAAAGGACAGAAAUAGCAUGGCCAAUGCACCCUGCACGCCAUACAAGUAACUUUUGACCCCCUCUUAAAAACUGCUAAUCUAGUACCUUACUCAAAACAAGAGAAA